rnacentral:rRNA from 1 species
GGUGAGUAACACGUGGGUAACCUGCCUCGAAGUGGGGGAUAGCCAUUCGAAAGGAAGAUUAAUACCGCAUAAGCUUGCAGCAUCGCAUGAUGCAGCAAGAAAAGGAGCAAUCCGCUUCGAGAUGGACCCGCGGCGCAUUAGCUAGUUGGUGAGGUAACGGCUCACCAAGGCCACGAUGCGUAGCCGACCUGAGAGGGUGAUCGGCCACAUUGGAACUGAGAUACGGUCCAGACUCCUACGGGAGGCAGCAGUGGGGAAUAUUGCACAAUGGGCGGAAGCCUGAUGCAGCAACGCCGCGUGAGUGAUGAAGGCUUUCGAGUCGUAAAGCUCUUUGAUCAGGGAUGAUAAUGACAGUACCUGAAAAACAAGCCACGGCUAACUACGUGCCAGCAGCCGCGGUAAUACGUAGGUGGCGAGCGUUGUCCGGAAUUACUGGGCGUAAAGGAUGCGUAGGUGGAUAUUUAAGUGGGAUGUGAAAUCCCCGGGCUCAACCCGGGAACUGCAUUCCAAACUGGAUGUCUAGAGUGCAGGAGAGGAAAGCGGAAUUCCUAGUGUAGCGGUGAAAUGCGUAGAUAUUAGGAGGAACACCAGUGGCGAAGGCGGCUUUCUGGACUGUAACUGACACUGAGGCAUGAAAGCGUGGGUAGCAAACAGGAUUAGAUACCCUGGUAGUCCACGCCGUAAACGAUGGGUACUAGGUGUAGGAGGUAUCGACCCCUUCUGUGCCGUCGUUAACACAAUAAGUA